UCCGGGUUGGACCCGGCGGUUCCGCCAGACAUCGUAACUGGCAACGAGGGUUGCGCUCGUUGCGGGACUUAACCCAACAUCUCACGACACGAGCUGACGACAACCAUGCACCACCUGUAUACCGACCUUGCGGGGCGACGAUCUCUCGCCGUUUCCGGUAUAUGUCAAGCCUUGGUAAGGUUCUUCGCGUUGCAUCGAAUUAAUCCGCAUGCUCCGCCGCUUGUGCGGGCCCCCGUCAAUUCCUUUGAGUUUUAGCCUUGCGGCCGUACUCCCCAGGCGGGACACUUAACGCGUUAACUGCGGCACAGAGGGAUUCGACUCCCCCCACACCUAGUGUUCAUCGUUUACGGCUAGGACUAC
rnacentral:misc_RNA from 1 species